UACGUAGGUGGCGAGCGUUGUCCGGAUUUACUGGGCGUAAAGAGCGCGCAGGCGGUCGUACAAGUCGCGUGUGAAAGCCCCUGGCUCAACUGGGGAGGGUCACGCGAUACUGUUCGACUUGAAGGCAGGAGAGGGAAGUGGAAUUCCCGGUGUAGUGGUGAAAUGCGUAGAUAUCGGGAGGAACACCAGUGGCGAAGGCGGCAUCCUGGACCAAUUCUGACGCUGAGGAGCGAAAGCCAGGGGAGCAAACGGG
rnacentral:rRNA from 1 species